UUUAGCACAACAGAAGGUUCGGUUGGCAGGAGUCUGAAGACUGGACGAGAUGGUGUCACUUGAUCCCUGUGGAGAUUUAAUAAGAGACAUGAUUGAUCAAAACCUCUCGCACGCGGACAUUUCCACGAAUUUAUCACAACUAGGUGUGCAGCGAUGUUCUGAAAUGAGUGUCAGGAGAUUUUGGGCACAUCACAACAUUUCCAGGAGGGGACAUUUAUCCGACACACAAUUAGAAGUUGCUGUCAGCAGGGCAAUAAAUCAGACAGGGUCAACAUAUGAUGACCAGGUACCUGUCUGUGAUGGGAGUGGUUGCUGGUGAACGCCGGAUAGGGAGGAUUUUGAGAACAACGCAUUGUUCUUAUCACGAAAUGCGCAAACAUACCAAAGAACUACAGACUCUUCACAACCUGCUCAAACUCUUCGUACAGGACCUCACCACACGGAUCAAGAAGGUUUCCGUCUCAUUUCUACUCUGAAGCUCACCUUCUCCUGCUCAAACUGCUGACAAAUGUUUCUGCUGCUCUAAAGUCUGGUCUCCAGAACUUCCUAAAAACUCUCAAAGUCUCUUCUGCUGCAGGUUGCUUUGUAGAACUGUUCCAGAAAACCUCACUAAACCACAUGGAGAGGCCUCAAGAUAGUCGUCCAAAUGAAACCGUACAAAACCCAAACUAGCACAACCCAAACGCUAAAGUCUCCUGCAGCCUACCAGAGAACCUCUGAGAACAGAGAAUCAGGACAGGAACUCUUACCUUCUGGACAACCAACGCUGGUUCUCAAACAAGAAUACAGAAUGUGUUUGACCAAAAACCUCUAAACACUCACUACAGCCAAGAUAAAGACACAACUCAGCUGCAACAAAUCCACUAAUCACUGCACACAUUAGCACCAUGUGCUAACUGUGGCUAAAGAACCACAUUUACCAAGACAACUAUCCAGUACAAAGCCCUAAAACACACCAAGAAACACAUUAAAGAUGAUUUUACUGCUGGAAGCUGCAAGCCAACGCCUAAAGAACAAACUAAAGCAAUGGAGCCAAACCCGGUUCAAUGGUGAAGAGAAACAGAGGAAAUGUUUGAACUGCAGCUAAAUAAAGCAGGAAGACACUGAGCUGCUCAGGUGUUCCUGAUAACACCAAGCAGCCACCUGAACAGCCAAUAGGAACACAGCUUACUGGAAGUCCAGAGGGCUGGGUUAGUGAAGGAAAUUUAGUUUAAAGUUGAGGCAGAAAGUUAACAAAGAAAGUUGAAAACCACCUUCUGAUACCUGAAAUCUCUGAGUUUUCACACAAACAACGCCUGAACAUGUCAAACUGGUUUCAUAGUAGAACCAUCAUUGUAAAAACGUCAUAGUAUGGUGUGUUGCUCAAAAAACAUUACGACCCGGCUGUCUAGGGUCGCCGAGGAGCAACACAAAAACAGGACAAACGCUGGUUUCCAGGGGGUUAGGCAGCUAUUUAUUUGAAAGAGGAAGUUUACAACAACACAACAUGUGAGCAGAAAAAUCACAAAGUCUGUCUUUAGUUCAACUGAAAAUAUUAGUUUUUGUCUUUUUUAUUGACCAAACUUUUCAGGAAGUAGAUGAAGAAUAAUUAAAGCUCUCAUGUAGAAGUCCAACUUAUUUUGGAUCCUUGUGGAAAGUUUAAUCUUAAGAGUUUGUAAAGCUGUUGAGUUUUUAGAGUCACAUGGAUUGUUUUGACAUUUAAUAUCCGAGUCCUGAAAUAAAAUUACAGUUCUGGAUUUCUGUCAUAUAGUCUGGACUAAACAAAUAACAGCAGCAUAAACCUCAAACGUCAUUAUGAGGAGUCUGGAUUGAGGUUUCUCACUUGAUAAUGAUCAAAACAUGAAAUUUAGGUUGAUUUAAAGGAAUAUUUCACCUUAAAUCUUUGAAUGUUGACCUAAAAGGUUGGUUUCAGGAAGUAUUCCACCUACAAGGUCCUCAAACAUCCACCUUAAAGGAACAUCCCACCAAAAAUCCUUGGACAUGCACCUAAAAUGUUGGUUUCACCAAGUAUUCCAUCCAAAAUCCUAGACCAAAAAAUCUUGGUGUAAAGGAGUAUUCCACCUUAAAUAUAGACCUAAAGGAUGGUUUGGAGUAAUAUUCUACUCUAAAAUCUUCCAAUGUUGACCUAAAAGUUUGAUCUGAUGGUAUAUUCUACCCAACAUCCUGGAACAUUUACCUAAAAGCUUGGUUUAAUGGCAUAUUCCCAGAAGAACCCUUGAACAUUAGGCUUAAUGGUAUAUUCCACCCAAAAUACUUGUACAUACACCAAGAAGUCAGUGUAAAGGAAAUGUAGACCUAAAAGGAUUGUUUAAAGGAAUAUUUAAAUGAUUAUUUUCAUUAUUUAAUAAUCUGUCAUCAGUCAGAACCCUGGCAAACUUAUUUUCAUCAGUUUUUUUUAGUGGAAGUCACAAAUAAAGGAGCUCUUGGUUUUUCCCGGUGUUAGUGAGUCAAAAGCUGCUGUUUCAACACAGACACGUUCACAUGCAUCCACAAACCUCUCAGCACUCAAACACCCACAGACAGGCGGCCGGCUGGACCGAGGCUCGGCGGCGUCAUCAGACCCACAAGUCGGGGAGUCGGUGAACUUGUUGGUCCGGUUUGAAGGCCUCCGUGUGGUCCAGUAGAAGUCCACGUAGUCGGUGUUGGCUUUAAACCGCAGCGACUGGCCGCCAUCAGGUGGACCGGCUCGUCCUCGUAGGACUCCUCCUGUAGCCUUGAGGGGACCACAGGAACAUUCAGUAGCUGUUGGAGUUCUUCCUGUCAGGCUCGUGGUAGAACGACUCUGAAGAAUCUUGUACUUGUCUUAUCUGGAACAAUCUAACAGCCUAAACUGUUAACAGCGGUGUAAAGAAGCAAACACACAGGCAUAGAUUAGGACUCAAACUAGAUUUAUUUUAGAAAACAAAUCAGCUUAGAGGCAUUCGUUCACACGUGGCUGAAUCGGAGGCUGUCCAAUCAGAUUCGAGGUCUUCACUCUGUAGGUUGGUUGUUCGGUGAGACUCUUGGACCUCCAUCAGCUGACGUGGAUGUUUGAUGGUCUCCCUCUCUAGUGCCAGAUGAUUCAUCCAUGAAUUCAGCAGCUACAGACUGAAAUGAAGCUCAUGCUGCUGUUAUUGAAUUCCUGUUCCAGAUCAAAUGUUCAGAGCUCACCUUGAAUGCAGCCGUCUGCUGUCUGAUAGCUUUUCUCAUUGUAGUCGUCAAUAAAGUCUUUUUCCUCAUGUCA